UUAAAUUCACAACCAAUUUGUGAAUUGUUGAGGGUUCAGUUCGCCAGUAUUUCGGAUUUGAUUCAUUGGAUUUAGUAGAUUGAAGAAUUUGCAUAGAAAUCGAGGUAAGGGA